CCUACGGGAGGCAGCAGUGGGGAAUAUUGCACAAUGGGGGAAACCCUGAUGCAGCGACGCCGCGUGAGUGAAGAAGUAUUUCGGUAUGUAAAGCUCUAUCAGCAGGGAAGAAAAUGACGGUACCUGAUUCAGAAGCCCCGGCUAACUACGUGCCAGCAGCCGCGGUAAUACGUAGGGGGCAAGCGUUAUCCGGAUUUACUGGGUGUAACGGGAGCGUAGACGGCAGCACAAGUCUGGAGUGAAAUGCCGGGGCUUAACCCCGGAACUGCUUUGGAGACUGUGCAGCUAGAGUGCAGGAGAGGUAAGUGGAAGUCCUAGUGUAGCGGUGAAAUGCGUAGAUAUUAGGAGGAACACCAGUGGCGAAGGCGGCUUACUGGACUGUAACUGACGUUGAGGCUCGAAAGCGUGGGGAGCAAACAGGAUUAGAUACCCCUGUAGUC
rnacentral:rRNA from 1 species